GAUGAACGCUAGCUACAGGCUUAACACAUGCAAGUCGAGGGCAGCAUGAACUUAGCUUGCUAAGUUUGAUGGCGACCGGCGCACGGUGAGUAACACGUAUCCAACCUUCCGUUUACUCAGGGAUAGCCUUUCGAAAGAAAGAUUAAUACCUGAUAGUAUGGUGAGAUUGCAUGAUAACACCAUUAAAGAUUUAUUGGUAAACGAUGGGGAUGCGUUCCAUUAGGUAGUAGGCGGGGUAACGGCCCACCUAGCCUGCGAUGGAUAGGGGUUCUGAGAGGAAGGUCCCCCACAUUGGAACUGAGACACGGUCCAAACUCCUACGGGAGGCAGCAGUGAGGAAUAUUGGUCAAUGGGCGAGAGCCUGAACCAGCCAAGUAGCGUGAAGGAUGAAGGUCCUACGGAUUGUAAACUUCUUUUAUACGGGAAUAAAGUUUCCUACGUGUAGGAUUUUGUAUGUACCGUAUGAAUAAGCAUCGGCUAACUCCGUG
rnacentral:rRNA from 1 species